rnacentral:rRNA from 1 species
UACGUAGGGUGCGAGCGUUAAUCGGAAUUACUGGGCGUAAAGCGUGCGCAGGCGGUUUUGUAAGCCAGAUGUGAAAGCCCCGGGCUUAACCUGGGAAUGGCAUUUGGGACUGCAAGGCUUGAGUGCGGCAGAGGAGACUGGAAUUCCUGGUGUAGCAGUGAAAUGCGUAGAUAUCAGGAGGAAUACCGAUGGCGUAGGCAGGUCUCUGGGCUGACACUGACGCUCAUGCACGAAAGCGUGGGGAGCAAACAGG